GUGGGGAAUUUUGGACAAUGGGCGCAAGCCUGAUCCAGCAAUGCCGCGUGCAGGAAGAAGGCCUUCGGGUUGUAAACUGCUUUUGUACGGAACGAAACGGUCCUGGUUAAUACCUGGGGCUAAUGACGGUACCGUAAGAAUAAGCACCGGCUAACUACGUGCCAGCAGCCGCGGUAAUACGUAGGGUGCGAGCGUUAAUCGGAAUUACUGGGCGUAAAGCGUGCGCAGGCGGUUAUAUAAGACAGAGGUGAAAUCCCCGGGCUCAACCUGGGAACUGCAUUUGGGAAUGUAUAGCUAGAGUACGGCAGAGGGGGAUGGAAUUCCGCGUGUAGCAGUGAAAUGCGUAGAUAUGCGGAGGAACACCGAUGGCGAAGGCAAUCCCCUGGGCCUGUACUGACGCUCAUGCACGAAAGCGUGGGGAGCAAACAGGAUUAGAAACCCGAGUAGUCC
rnacentral:rRNA from 1 species